AUCACUGCAGCGAUUACAUUCUCUCUCACACUGAACUGUCACUCAUAUAAACAAAAACGAAAGGAGCGAACGGAGUAAAGAAUUUGCUUGGGCAACCGACAGUGAUGUGAUGGAUGAGAAAUAAUGGGCAGAAUUUGUGGAUAACCAAUGGGUGCUGCAACGCUCUAAGGAGGAAGUUCCAGUUAUGUCUCCGUGUGUUUAAAACCGGCAAUAAAGCGUGAGUCAAUAGCAGCUAGAUGAGUACUUCGCAGUUGUGAAAAAACGUCGGAUAUCAUGGAUUCAAAGGCCCAUCGCUACAGUUACCGAUCCUCAAAUUUGCAACUUCGUUGGCAGCUGGUAUAGGACGAUUUCAUCAAACACCCAUCGAUGAUGCUAUCAACUUCCCGGAAUUCCGUUGGAUAGGAUUAUUAAGUGAAAAUUUGAUUCGUUCACACCGGUGAACCAUUGCAUCGGAUGGUGUCGUGACACACUGUCGUUUGAAAUUAAGCUUUACUCGUAUCAAAUGUUUCUACAGAAAGCAUAAUCAUCGGACGGCAAUGCUGGAAAUGUUCCCUUUGAAUGAUGUAGCGUAUUAUACUUUGUUUCAAGGAAAUUAUUCGUUCAUUAUAUAGUGUAGUAUAGCUCUAAUGUUAUAAAUGUAGUACAGCACUGUGUCAGUUAAUAGUAUACAAUAUGUAUUGUAAAUAAAUUAAAUCAUUUCCAUCGAA